UACGGGGGGGGCAAGCGUUGUUCGGAAUUACUGGGCGUAAAGGGCUCGUAGGCGGCCAACUAAGUCGAAUGUGAAAUCCCCAGGCUUAACCUGGGAACUGCAUCCGAUACUGGAUGGCUUGAAUCCGGGAGAGGGAUGCGGAAUUCCAGGUGUAGCGGUGAAAUGCGUAGAUAUCUGGAGGAACACCGGUGGCGAAGGCGGCAUCCUGGACCGGCAUUGACGCUGAGGCGCGAAAGCUAGGGGAGCAAACGGG
rnacentral:rRNA from 1 species